AACUUGGCCAGUCUGCGACACGCCAGAGUGUAUACAAAGAGCCAACCUAAUAAAUGAAUCACUUAACACCACCAUUGAUCCUUGCCAGGACUUCUAUUCAUACGUUUGCAGCGGGUGGGAAAGCGACCAUCAAAGUCGAAGUCUUAACGGCAGCUAUGAUGUUUUUCAGGAGAUGGAUGAAAAUGUUUCGGAAAAGCUACGCUAUAUUCUUGAAAACCGAACUGUGGUUGAGUCUAACCAAACCUUAUUAGACAAGAUGGCAAUCACGUAUAAUGCGUGUUUAGCACUUCCAGAUAAUCGUGAUGCUUUGAUUAGAGUGCUGAAUGAAUCCGGUAUAAAUGCCUGGCCGAUUCUCACUGAAGGAAACAUCUUCAACUCCAGUAAUUGUACGGAUUUACUUCGCCAUAUGGACAUUUCUGCAAUUCUCUAUGUGCACAUUCAGCAUAUCGAAGUCGAGUACAUCGACGAUCAUCGUGCAGAUUAUUACGGA